CACAUCCCAUCACCCACUGUCAAGGACCCACACAGCCAUAGACAACUACUUUAAUACCGACAAACAUUGGGGCUUAUAUUGCCCAGUACAGUACACAUAUGGGUGGGUCACUUUCUAGGACCCUCACAGCUAUAGACAACAACUUUAAUAUCAACAAACAUUGGGGCUUAUAGUGCCCAGUACAGUACACAUAUGGGUGGGUCACUUUCUAGGACCCUCACAGCUAUAGACAACAACUUUAAUAUCAACAAACAUUGGGGCUUAUAGUGCCCAGUACGGUACACAUCUGUAUGCCGCACUUCACAUUCAUCCACAAGCUGUGCGCAAGCACACAGUGCGCCGUCACCACCCCCAUGGUUGUCUGUAACUGCAGACUAGCACAGACCAUCUCCGCACCAGUGCGGCACACGUGUGUGCCGGGCACACGCAUUUGUGCGCUGACACAUCCCCACGUUUGUCUGUUACCACAGACAAACACAGCCCCUCUCCUCGCCGGCCGCAACUCACUGACAGCUGACCAGCCGGAAGUGACGUGGCGGCACUGAGAGCGCAUUAAUACGCGCGAUCAGUGCAAGCACGCUGUCAGGACCUCGCCAGUGUCGCUGCACACAGGAUCUCCAGCAGUUACUCUGCCCACUAAUAUAGAAGUUGGACCUCUGGUGGAGACCUUGUCAUCCUACAUCAAAGACACCACUGAUGCCCUACGAAGAUUAGAAGACAUCCAAUUAGAUGAUGACAUGUGGAUCGUGACAAGCGACGUGGAGUCCUAGUAUACAUCUAUCCAUCACCAAGAUGGACUUCAGGCUGUGGGUGAUUUCCUGAGGAUGUCCGAAAUUUAAAAGGAUAUAGGGAUCGCUGGAGGAGUUGCAGACAUUCAUGAUGAAUUUGAACACUAAUGAGCAGAAUAUUAGAAUCACCUACAAAGCAGGAAGGCACCACAUGGAUUUUUUUGGACAACUCUUUGAGAUGAACCAACAGAGAUGAAGCAUUUGAGAGCGGUGCUAUUGAACUUUGGAAAAGAUUUUCUGAAAGAGGAUAUAAAGACAGUUGGAUCCGCCAUUCAUACCUGAGGGCCAAGCAUACCAGCAGGAGAAGUCUACUACAACCCAGAAUGAAAAGCAAUAAAGACGAUCAGAAUCCUUUUCAUGUUGACAGUAUCAUUACUUUGCCGGCGUCUGAGUCUCCCCUCAUUACACCUGCUGCCUCCCCGCCAUGAAAGACCAGGACUGAGAUCAUCUAUCAGCCACCAGCCCCCGCAAAAGAGUCGCAGUAUGAGUGCUCCAUAUCCUCCUUUUCUUCUAUGUUUGCUACAGCUACUUUGUAAUGACAUCAGUCAUUUUACUCAAAAAUCCACGGCGAAAUGGAAAAAAAAUCAUUGUGCGACAAAAUUAACGAAAA